GGCCGCGGGAAUUCGAUUCAGGCCUAACACAUGCAAGUCGAGCGGGGUUUUCGGACCUAGCGGCGGACGGGUGAGUAAUGCGUAGGAAGCUACCCGACAGAGGGGGAUACCAGUUGGAAACGACUGUUAAUACCGCAUAAUGUCUACGGACCAAAGUGUGGGACCUUCGGGCCACAUGCUGUCGGAUGCGCCUACGUGGGAUUAGCUAGUUGGUGAGGUAAUAGCUCACCAAGGCGACGAUCCCUAGCUGGUUUGAGAGGAUGAUCAGCCACACUGGGACUGAGACACGGUCCAGACUCCUACGGGAGGCAGCAGUAAGGAAUAUUGGUCAAUGGACGCAAGU
rnacentral:rRNA from 1 species